rnacentral:lncRNA from 1 species
CUAAAAAUCAUCUUUUGUUACUCUCAUCCCUUGCCUAUAUAAAUCACACUGCCUUCGUCGUCGUCAUUGUAACCUAAUAGAAUCAGGGCGAUUUCUUUGUUCUUCAUUUACCAUCUCGCAAUAGUCUUCUUAUUAGUUUCUCGAUCGGGUAUGAUUUUUAUCUAGUUUUCUUACUAGGUUUCAGGUGCUUCGGAAAUUUUCGUAAUUGUUUUUAUAAUUUUUUUGGAUCUUAACGAUUUCAUACCUUUUGAUUUUUUUUCUAAUGAUUCAUGUAUUGAACUUUCAGAUGUUCUUCGAUCAUGAAUUGCUUUUUAUAAGAUUUUCAGGGUGUGAUGAUCUAUUGUAAUUGGUCCGUGUUUCUGAUCCUUCGUGAAUGAGACCUUACAUAUAUUUCUGACUUUGGGAUUAUUUAUUGAUUUUUAACUGAUUUGGGUGAAGUUUUGAUGCGUGAUUUUUAUUUUAUUUUACAAGAGCGUGAUGAUCUAUUGUAAUUGGUCCGUGUUUCUGAUCCUUCGUGAAUGAGACCAUACCUAUAUUUCUGAUUCUUCAAUUUAUUUUUUCCCUUGUAAUUAUUUUAUUUAACAUUCUUAGAUUGUUUUUUUUCCAUAGUCGGAACAAAUGACGAAGAAAAAAUACUGCAACAAUAUGAUCAUUUUUAUAUGGAUUGAUUAUUGUAUUUUAGUCUGAUGUUCUUCAUAAUUAUGCAUGAUUAUUGUAUUUUUAUAUGGAUUGUAUUAUAUAGAAAGUGGUAGGAUAUUAAGAUCUAUUGAAGGAUGGAGAUGUUUUGAUUUUUGUUUUUCAUUGCUAUCAUGGUUCCAUGUAAUGGAAUGGGAAAGAGUUCGAAAAUUAAUAAUUAAUUUGAAACAUAUCUUAAUUUUCCAAGUAAAUCUGGAACAUAUAAAUAUAGAACAUCAAAAUUAAUCAUAUAUUCAUAUGUAACAUUUUUAAUGAAGAUGUAAAAUUAAGUUGUAAUUUACAUGAUCUUCAUCAAGAACAUUCUUUGUUAAUUCAUUAAUUAUAAUAGAUUUCAAAUUCUUUUCUUUUUUAUAAAAUAAUAAUUUUUUUGUGUAUAAUAAAAUUUCC